AUGGACGCGCGCAGGACCGUGGUGGUGUCCGGCGUCCCCGACCUGCUGCCCGGCCACAGGAUGCGGGACAAGCUGACGGUCCACUUCCAGAGCCGCCGGCGCAGCCGCGGGGGCGACGUCGACGCGGUGGAGUUUCCCACGGACGUGCGUGGGCUCGCGUUCGUCACCUUCGACCGCGCUGCAGACGCGGAGGCGGUGGCGCUGAAGGAGCAGCAGAUCCUGACGGACGCCGCGUUUCCUGAGGAACACGCCCUCACCGUGUUCCCCUUCACCACGGAUGUGAGUCCAGCUGCCGUUAGAGCCCCCUCCUCUCCACAUCGAACCACGCACGGCGCUGAUUCGGGCCUUUUUCUUGUGCUGCAGGUGUUCUUCUACGUCUCCGGCGCCACCGUGGAUCUCUCCAUGUUCGACGGGGACCAGGCGUCGCUGAUUCAGAGUCUGCGGUCCGCUCACAGGUCGCUGCGGUUCCAGGUUCUGCCCCGUGAGAGGAAAGCCCUCGUUGAGGGGCCUUUCUCUGCCAUCAGGGCCCUGAGAGCGGACCUCGUGAGCAGAACCGGCCGGCUUAAACCCAGUGUCAAACCUGGAGCGUUGCCUCCUAAUCCCAGGGUAAUAUCUCAUCACCAGUCCGUCGGGCCCGUGAGCCGCAGCGAUUCUGGCGCUAGGCGGGAACCGGGGGGCUCAAACGGCUUAUCGGCGCCGCUGCAGAGCGCAGGUGAGCGGAGCGAAGUCCAAAGCCGGCGCUCACAGGCAAAAAGUCCAACCUCUGCCAGACAGAGCGCGCACAGCUUCUAUGACACAGGCUCUGAGGCAGAGGAGGCGCCGAAGGCUGGGUCCCGGCCCAGACUGACCUCGGGACGCGGCGCCGGGCCAGCACAGGCCGCAGCCACGCGGCGGUACCGAGAGGCGGAGGACGGGCCAAAGCGGCCACCGGUGGACGGCGCCGUUCAGAAACACACCCCAGCAGACUGGGCUCCAGCCACUAAGACCAGAACCCGCCUGGACUGGCCUGGACCCGAGAGCCCACUGAAAGAGGUGUCAUCGUCCUACGCGUAUGAGGACCAUCCACAGGAUACUUGCAUCUGGGUUGACUCAUAUAUUUUCAGGUAUAUAGAAAAAUUUGAUAAACAAUACAAAAAAUACCUAAGAGGUCUAAGUGCAUCAGUCGAGGAAGCUGAAGGGUCCGAUCUGGUUCAAAUACGUUUGGCUGGGACGGAUCCCUGUGAGGGCCCGGCCCGGGUCCAGGAGGCCUUGGCCAGGCUGAACUCUUUGGUGGAGCUCUGGCAGUGGAAGUUGAGGGUCUACGAGAUAUGUUACAACAACAAGAAGCAUCCGAAAGAGAAAGUGAUGCACAUCUGUAAUGAUGUGGAAGUGAGAAACAAAUAUGACAACGUUCUUUACAUGGUUGACGAGACGAAGGUGAAGAUUGUCGGCUCUUUAUCAUGCAGUUACCUUUUUUAUUUCACAGUGAAGCAAAGACUAGAGUGCGAUUCAAUUUGAAAUAGAUGUAGUUCUCUUGGUGUCCACAGGGUGGCGCAGGUUUUCAGAAAACCGGCUGCAUUGGUGUAUCGUCAAAUUUAGCGUACGUACCUGUAUUUUAUUGGUUAGUAGGCUUAUUAAAGCCGCAGUGGCGAAUGUUAUUGCAUCUGAUCUCUCUGAAAAGAGUAGUAAAAGAAAAAGUAUUCUAUGCUUCUGUUUUGCCUCUAUAUAAGGUAUUUGUUUAAUUUGUACCUGACAAUAAUAACAAAUUCUGAUCUUUUUCUAGAGUUGUUGUGUUUUUUUUUUCACAUUUUUUAUUGUUAUUGUAAGACAUUAAGUCAUGGCCUCAUACAUCGCAGACGCUUUUUAAAGGACAAUAAAAUUCCGCUGCGGCCAGACUCGUGCGCCCUC
ensembl:lncRNA RNA binding motif protein 43